rnacentral:lncRNA from 1 species
AGGUUUCAAAUGAGAAAAAUGUUACCCUUUUGAUUCAGAAUUGACAGAGGUUCAGACUUUAGAGCACUUGUAUUAAGUAAGUCAACCUCACUAUUUGUUAUUAUAUUUUAUUAUUCCAAAGUGCAUCAACUUGACAACUUGCUUUUGUUUCCACCUGUGUGUGUGUGUCUGCUGCUAUAAAGAAUUGUUCAAGGUGGAAAUGGAAGACUUUAAUGGAAGACUCACCACCGCAUUUGAAGGGACAAACAAAGCAUAGCGUCUACAUCACUCAACUUAAUUUUCACUAUGUUUUGUUGGAAAAUGAGAGUAGAAACAUAUGAAAACUACAUAUACGCAAUGUAACCUAUCUUUAUUUUUUGUCUUGUCUGCAUAGACUUCAAAU